rnacentral:tRNA from 1 species
GGGUGGUUUGUAGGGUGGUUUUUAGUGUUGGACUGUGACUCUGGAGACCAGGGUUCAAAUCCCAGCUCAGCCA